AUUCACCGAAAGAAGCUUAGUGGCGAACGGGUGAGUAACACGUAGGCAACCUGCCCAAAAGAGGGGGAUAACACUUGGAAACAGGUGCUAAUACCGCAUAACCAUGAACACCGCAUGAUGUUCAUGUAAAAGACGGCUUUUGCUGUCACUUUUGGAUGGGCCUGCGGCGUAUUAACUUGUUGGUGGGGUAACGGCCUACCAAGGUGAUGAUACGUAGCCGAACUGAGAGGUUGAUCGGCCACAUUGGGACUGAGACACGGCCCAAACUCCUACGGGAGGCAGCAGUAGGGAAUCUUCCACAAUGGACGAAAGUCUGAUGGAGCAACGCCGCGUGAAUGAAGAAGGCCUUCGGGUCGUAAAAUUCUGUUGUCAGAGAAGAACGUGCGUGAGAGUAACUGUUCACGUAUUGACGGUAUCUGACCAGAAAGCCACGGCUAACUACGUGCCAGCAGCCGCGGUAAUACGUAGGUGGCGAGCGUUGUCCGGAUUUAUUGGGCGUAAAGGGAACGCAGGCGGUCUUUUAAGUCUGAUGUGAAAGCCUUCGGCUUAACCGAAGUAGUGCAUUGGAAACUGGAAGACUUGAGUGCAGAAGAGGAGAGUGGAACUCCAUGUGUAGCGGUGAAAUGCGUAGAUAUAUGGAAGAACACCAGUGGCGAAAGCGGCUCUCUGGUCUGUAACUGACGCUGAGGUUCGAAAGCGUGGGUAGCAAACAGGAUUAGAUACCCUGGUAGUCCACGCCGUAAACGAUGAGUGCUAAGUGUUGGAGGGUUUCCGCCCUUCAGUGCUGCAGCUAACGCAUUAAGCACUCCGCCUGGGGAGUACGGUCGCAAGACUGAAACUCAAAGGAAUUGACGGGGGCCCGCACAAGCGGUGGAGCAUGUGGUUUAAUUCGAAGCAACGCGAAGAACCUUACCAGGUCUUGACAUCUUCUGACAAUUCCAGAGAUGGAACGUUCCCUUCGGGGACAGAAUGACAGGUGGUGCAUGGUUGUCGUCAGCUCGUGUCCUGAAAUGUUUGGGUUAAGUCCCGCAACGAGCGCAACCCUUAUUGUCAGUUGCCAUCAUUAAAUUGGGCACUCUGGCGAGACUGCCGGUGACAAACCGGAGGAAAGGGGGG
rnacentral:rRNA from 1 species